rnacentral:rRNA from 1 species
AUGAGGACUCUGUCCCUGCUCGCCGUCCUCCUCGUCCUCCUCCUCGUCUCCCACCCGCGCAACGCCGCCGACGCCCACGGCCACCGGUUCGGCAAGGAGAAGCUCACCAACCUGCGCUUCUACCUGCACGACACCCUCAGCGACCGCGACCCGACGGCCGUCCCCGUGGCGCACGGCGCCGGCGCCACGCCCAGGCCCGGCGACCCCACGCCCUUCAGCACCGUCUACGUCGUCGACGACGUGCUCACGGAGGGGCCCCAGCGGACGUCCAGGGUCGUCGGCAGCGCGCAGGGCCUGUACGCGUCCACCGGCAGGCACGGGCUGGGGCUCGUCCUCGGCAUCGACUUCGCCCUCAACGACUACAACGGAAGCUCCUUCGUGGUCUUCUCGCGCAACCCCGUCACGGACGGCGACGGCAGGGAGCUCGCCGUCGUCGGCGGCCGCGGCGCCUUCCGGCUGGCCCGCGGCUUCGCGCUGCUCCGCACGCACUACCUCAACACCGGCAACGGCGACGCCAUCAUCGAGUACAACGUCACUCUCCUGCAUUACUGA